rnacentral:lncRNA from 1 species
AUGGGGCUUGUAUGAUGCAUAUUUUCGAAUGCUUGCCCCAGCCAGGCCUCCUUCUCAACGAGUCUUUCCUCACCCAGGGUCCCUGACACUCUAAACAUGUUUUAUUCCAAGAGGCCUAAGGUCGCCCCACCUUCGUUCUAUCUACCUCCCAAUGGACACAGCCAGUUGAACCAGAAGUGUGGUGGAUACUGACACAAGGCAAGAGUUUUGACCAAGCACAGGCUCAGGAGGCACAGACCAUUAUGCUGGAUUCCUACUCCC